UGCAACAGACUUCUGCGUAUUAAUUUUUUAUCCUGCAGCUUUACCGAACAAUUCACCCAUUUAAAGUAUACAUUUUAAUGAUUUUUUGUAUAUUAUGUUAUUAAUUUUUGAAAAUUGUGGUACAAUGAUGGUGGAAAAUUGUAGCACGGAACAUAAAAUUUGCCGUUUUAACUUUUUGAUGUACAGUUCAGUGGCGUUAGUCACCAUCACAAUUUCAUGCAAACAUCACCACUAUUUUCGAAACUUUCUCAUCACCCCAAGUGAAAACUCUAUACUCAUUAAACAGUAACUCAACCGGAAAGGAUUUUUGAAUCUGCUUUGGUAACUACCUUCUUCAUCUUUUGAGGAAGAUUUUGUUUAGUUUACUCUUUCAGAGGAAGUUUAUUCUUUUAGGGGAAGUUCCAUGUAGGACAUGACUUAGGUUGGGUUCCCUCAGGAAGCAGCCUCAGAGAUUGGUGCUCCGGACACUGUUAGGGAAUCUCACAGAGUCCCCCUUGUCGGGGAGGGGCAGAGGCAAAACUGGCCAGAAGGAGAAGAGGGGCUCCUUUGCAGUCCUAAGGCCUCAUCCUACCCAGUGGGAAUUCUAGAACUGGGAUUUCCUGGGGUAGGGCACUAGGAAGGAUCUUUUAUAUCUGCACAUCUUCCAGUCACAGGGUUCGGCAAGCCCUGGAAGGGACAUGAACUUAAGCUAGUUAACUCUUUUCAGCCAAGGGCUGUUAAGGACUACAAGCCUGCAGUGUUCCCAGUUAAGGACUACAAGCCUGCAGUGUUCCCAGCUGCUAGGGGAUGAGAACUUCAGUCAGUAGUUCCCAUUGAGCCACCUGGGCAUCCUCCAAAAUACCAGGCCUGGUUUAAUUACCCUGGGGCGAGAAGCAGGCGUCCAGAGUUUUGCAUGAACCACCGUUGGGGCGUGCCUGCCUUUAAUGCUGAAGAGGCAUCAGCAUAGUCCACACCGCUGUGGGACAGGCCUGAGAUUUGGAGGCAGCAACGUUUGAACAUAGCUGGAUGUUUUUCUAACUCUUACUCAGUGACGGUGAAGCCGGUGGCUGGAGAUUUUUCAAACCCUUGUGUGAGUGUGCAUUGAUACAGCAAAGAAGCUCUUUAAAAUGUCUUUAGACAUAACAAACCUGAGGAAAUGACGGGUAAGUGUGCAAAAGAUGUGUGCAUAAAGAUGUCAAAGCUGAGCCUUGUUGACAGUGAUGGAAAAUUGGGAGCGGCACAAAUGUGCAUUAAUAAGAUAUUGAUUAAAAGAAUUAUGGUACAUACCUAUUCGGAAACUAACUAUAUAGUCAUUAAAAAUGAUGUGGGGGGGACACGUGUUUACAGAGGAAGCUAGCCACCAUGUACUUUUUCAUGAGAGAAGCAGUUAAUAAAAAAGCAUGAGCCUAGUCUUGCAUUAAAAAUCAUAUUUGCAUUGAAGAUGCCUGGGAGAAAAAUACCAGAUGUUAAUAGUAAACAGUGUUUUUUCCCCUGAGUGAAAGAAUUACAGGUGAAUUUUACUUUCUACCUCAUACCUCUCCCUAAUAUGUAGACUUUAAAAUGUGUUAACCCAUAUAUGAAUUUAAUAUUUGUCUGUUAAUUUUAUAUUCAUGAAAAACACAGAUCCAUUUCCAAAAACGACAUAUUUCCAAGAUUACACAUACAUAUACGUACAUAUGUGGUGUAAGUAUAUCUCUCCACCUAUCUGUCUAGCAGUGUAAAAGGGUACAGUCUAUAAUCCAGUUUGCGGUUAUCCCUAGAAUUUAAGGUCAUGGGUGAUUUUUCUUUCCUUCUUAUGUUUAUUUAGAGAUUUUUAUAAUAAGAUUGGGUCACAUAUAAUGAGAAAUGAGAGUGGCUUUUACAUUCCAGCGUGCUUGCCUGACCUUGUUUUCCAUCCACUCUUUAAACUGUGCUUUGCAUCUGUUUCCUGUGGAGGGACCUUUGGUUAGCAUUUCUUUCUCCAUCUCUGUCUUUCUUCUUGUCUUCUCAUGUAAAGAAUCCCUAUUAUGUGUUGGAGAAUUGUGUGCUUUAUUAAAUUAGGGGAGUUUAUUCCAACUUUCACAUUUGUUAUCACGCUGUGCAUUUUCACUUUAUUUAUCAUUUCCCCCCGUUCACUUUGACCUUUACAGGAGGCAUUCCCAAGCAGAGCAUUUGUCAUCUACCAUUAUGCUUUUGAUUCACCUAUUAAAUGGUAAUGUGUCCUCCAAAAAUAUUGAUAUUAAAUUAAGUUGUUCCAUAUUUGCUCUUAGGAAGAGCCUUGGGGUUAUUGAAUUUACCAGAUGGUAGGCUAUGCAACAUGAGAAAUGCAUGGGAAGCUUCCAGCAGGCUGGGGCUCUUCCAUGUGUCUGAUAAGUCUCAUUCCUUGCUUUAGGCCCUAAAUUACAUAUGCAUCACUUUCCCUGUCACACCGUCUUGACACCUCCAGGGUAAACUGGGGAUAAGUUCUCCAUAUGUUCUUUAUGGUUCUUAUUAAAUGUUAUUGUAAGUCGUGUUGAUGGCUAUCAUCCCAUUAGGCUUGUAGAUAGGAAAUGUGGUAGCCAUCCAGCAAGAUGAUCCCCAGCGAGCCUCACGUCCUGUGCCUUUGCAAAAUAGAUUAGGACAGAAGUGAUGGUCUGUCAUUUCCAAGAUUAGGUUAUAAGCGACUGAGGCUUCCAUCUUGGGCUCUUUCUCUUGGGCUGGUCAUUCUAUAGAAAGCCAGUCACCAUGUGGGGAAGACAGCCAGGCAAUCUAUAUAUAUAGAGAGAGUCACUCCCAUGGCAACAGCUAAUAAGAAACAGAGUCUGGCAAUGACCACGGGAGUUAAGAAGCAGGUCUAUCCCACUGAGCCUUCAGAUGUUAUAAGUCCCACCCCUCAGCUUGAUUUCAGCUCACCAGAGACCCUGAGCUAAAACCAUCUUUCUAAAUUUAGGUUCCCAAUUUCUGACCCUCAGAAACUAUGUAAGACAAUAGAUGCUUGGUGUUUUGAUUGGGGUGGCUUAUUACACAGCAAUAGGUAAUUAAUAAGAUUUUGAUACUAGAAGUGGGUGUUGAUGUAAUGAAACAUUAAAAUGUGGUCGUGGCUUAAGUCUUGGCAGUGUGCAGUGGAAAAGCAGUAAAGAUUCUGAGGAACAGGUUAAUAAAAGCUUAGAGUGCCUUGAAUACAUUGUCUCUAGAAGUUUGGACUUUGAGGAGGCUCCCAGUGAAGGUUUAUAGGAAAAUCAUAUUGGGACUUGGAAAGGGAGAAUCCUUGUUAUGUGGUAGCAAAAUAUUUAGCAAUACCGAUGCCUGAAGUAAUGUGGAAAGUAGAAAAUGUACCUAAUGAACUAGAUAAUACAGUUAAGGAGAUUUCUAACAGACUGUUGAAAGUGCCUUAUAUGUAUAUUUUUUUCCUGUUGCUUAUAGUAAAAUUGCAAGAAGAGAGGGAAACUGAAAGCAGAAAGUAAGCAAAAAAGAGCUAGGACUUGCUGUUUUUGAAGAUUUCCAGCCUCUCCAGACAACACAUGAUAAUAAAGUUAAGAAACGGCUUCUGAACAAAGAUCAAAUUCAGAGCACUUUUAGGAAAACACGCUCCAAAUGUGAAGCCAAGGGUAUGACUGUAAAAUCUUAAGAUCUCAGAAAUCAAAAAUGGCGUCUCAAGAGUACCGAGCACUCAGCCAAAAGGACCUCUAAAGAGAUGAAGGGUUUGCCUUAGCAGAUCUUCUUGAUCAAACAGCAGCCCUUCUUGGAGGUUCAAGGACAUGGUAUCCAGCAAAAGCCCAAGGUUGGGAAGGACUCAUUGCAAAGGUGGUAGGUGUGGUUUUUGUCUAAUGGGAUGAAACCUAAAAGGAGUCACAGAAGACUCUCCGAAUUUUUAAGAGACACCAUCAGCUUGAAAUGAAAGGGAUGUAGAGUACAAAAUGAAAAGAUGCUUUUGAACUCUUAGGUAUCAACAGGAGGUAAGAAGACUGAGAAAACUACUCAGCUGCAAAUGCCCUUUACCGUUCGUGAGAAUGAAAGAAUAACUGAAACGCCAAAACCAAGGGUCCAGGGGGUGGAGUUAAGGGUCAUAUAGAACUAUUCUCAGCCCUCAACUCGAGACCUAAUCAAGGAACUUGAAACAUCUGCUUGGCAGGACUUCAGAACUGCAUUCCCUACAUGCCUCCCAUCCCCCGCUAUGUGAGCAGAAGUCCUCUACUUGUCCCACCAUUGAGUGUUGAGUAUGUGGGGGCAGAUGACCUGUCACUUUAAUCACACACAUCCACAGAUAGAGAGGAACUGUAUAUCUGGGACUACCUCUGUACCCAGGCCGGACUGAGAUGAUGAGAGUCCGAUACUGUGAUGGGAUGAGACGUUUAGGGACCAUGGGAGGGGUUAGUCUUUGUUGCAUGUGGGAGAGGGCCAGAGUGUGGACUGUGGUAGGCAGCCUUCAAGAUAGCCCCCCAUGACCACUGAGUCUUGGCACCCCCUUUUCUUCCCACAUUGUACUGGCUUUGGUCUUUGUGACUUUGAGAUUAAAGACUAUAGCUUCCGUUUGAGGUGUGUUCUUGCUCAUUCCAUUUGGGAUGACUCGCCAGGGGGAAAUGCCAGCUGCUAUAUGUUGAGGACAUGCAGGCCCCACGCAGGGAAAAACUUCCAGCCCUUAGCCACGUGUGUGAGUUUUCUUAUGAGUGUAUCUCCAGCUCCAGUCAAAGCUUCAGAUGAUGGUGGCCCAGCUGACAACUCGAUGGCAACCUCGUGGGACACUAAGCAGAAAAGAAUUAACAUAGGCCUGAAACCGGGGUCCUUAGAAAGUCCUGCUUGCAAGAUUUCGAGAAAGGCUGGCAUCUGGGAACUUGGACUUAGGAGGGUUCCCACCAUUCUCUAACUAAUGGUGAGAGUGAUUGACUGAGCCUGAACUGGGCAAGCAGUAUAAUUUAUCGUACUUUCUGGGCCUCUGGAAUCUUGCUAUAUGCUAGACAGAGGCCGGGUAUGUGAACAGCCACCAAUGAAAACCUCUGUCACUGAGUCUCUGAUAAGCUUCCCUGGUAGAUAACAUUUCACAAUUUGUUGUCACAAUGUGAUCUGGGAGGAAUUAAGCCCAUCCUGGCUGACUCGGUGGGGAGAGGACGUUUGGAGGCUUGUGCCUGGUUUCCUAUGGGCUUCGCUCCAUGCACCCUUUGCUGAUUUUGCUGUAAUAAGUCAGAGCCACGAAGGACACCCUAGGUGAGUCCUGUGCAUCCUUCUAGUGACCGCUGAACCUGGGGUGUGUUUGGGGGACUCCCAACACGGAGACCCUGAGCCAGAGCCACCUACUCUGAAACUAUGAGAUAACAGGUGUUGGUCAUUUUACGCUGUUGCGUUUUGGAGUAGCUUUUAUCCACUCAGUCGUAGGUAAAGUGAUAUAAGAAAGCCUGUCACUUCUCUCUCCCCAGCAUGUAGCUCUGUGUCUGGAACAUAGGUGUUAAAGAAAUGUUUUGGAGCGAAUUGGUAUUUCUACCUUUGAAGAAUUUUAUAGUCUAUCUGGCUGCUUUGCGGGAGAAAUGGCAAUCCUGGGUUGGUAUAAUGAAGCAGGCUUCCCUUUCUUUCGUCUGGAAGGAUCCAUCCCAGGGGAGCCACCGCCUUACAGUUGUCACUUCUGCCUCUGGAUGAGGUCCACGUGUAUAAGAACCAGUGUGUGGCCAUCAGACCUUGCUCCUCCCUGGUCGGACGGGAUAGAUGAUUUCUUGAUAAAACCGCCCUUUUUUUCUCCUCACUUCUUAGGUCCCCUGAUUUUUUUCCUCUCUUUCUCCUAUGUCUUGGUGAUGAGCACUAUUCUUACCCUUCAAAUGAAACCUUCUUCCUCCUGAAAAAGUAAUUCCCCGGUGUUUCGGGUCUUCAUAAGAUGUUAAUAUUUCUCUCCUGAGCCUUGCCUCUCUGUCAUGUUACUGCCUCAACAGAAGUUGAGACAAAUGAACUUUUCUUGUUUUAAUUGUCCCCUCCUCUGCACACUCUCUUGAAAUAGACCUCUAUGCAAAGAUAGCAACCAUUCAGGCUAAGAUAGCUUUAAUGUGGGAGAAAACUCUAAAAUAUAUACUAGAAGUGGACUUCCUUGAGUUAUUUACAGUUUCUUAGAGAAGUAUUUUAAUCAAAGGGUGUGUGUGUGCUCAUGUAUGGAUUGGUGUGCACCACACCCCCUACACACAACCACACACACACACAGCUACAUACACAUACAACCAUACACACACAACCACACCCGCCACACAACUACAUACACAUACAACCACACACACACACACAACUACACAACAGCCUGUUGAUCCCUGUGGCAUAGCUUUUGGUUGUUAUCAGAACCUUUCCCUCCUUUCAGAUGGUCUUCAGUCUUAGCGGAUGACCUUGAUUCCUGUUUUCCUGAUCUGUUUAUUCCUGUUUUCCUAAGCUCUCAUUUUGAUCCUAACCUCAUUAAAAUGUUCCCCCCUCUUUUAUCCAAAAAUCAUCUGUUCUUUCAAAGACUCCCCUCUCUAGCCUUUGUUCCUCUUCCUUUUUAACAUUAUUCAUCAUUGUUUUUCCCUCUUGCAUUUUCUUUUUUCUACCACUUUUUAUAGGGAUGCUCAGGUAGAAACCUUUUUUCCUCUAACACUAAGUAGAACGACCACCCUUUUCCUUAGACUUGCUUUCUCUUGGAGCUAUACUUCUGCGUGUCUUUAUUUUCCUGCCAAGCUUAAAAGGAGUCCCUUCUGCUGGCUGCCUCCCCCUUGUCAUCCCCCAUCCACUGCUUCACCCUCAAAACUCACUGUCACCCUUUCCACUCUGAAAUUCCCCUCCAAGGUAUUUUAGUGACCAAGUCUACGAACCGCCCCCCUGCCCCCGCACACACAUAGAUCACUUAUCUUCUUCAGUCAUUUUUUAUUGUUGGUGUUGCCUUCUUUGAACUGGCUUUUUCUUCUUUUCUUCUCGAUUUGCCUUUUGACGCACUUGCCAUGCUUCUGUUCCUAUCUUUUACGGCUACAUUUCUGAUUAUUGACUAAUGGACCAAUCAACCAAGAUGAAUCCAAGUUGAGAGAAACUGGUCUCUGGAAUGAAUGGUCCCUUAUGGGGGAGGGAGAGGGAUGGACUGGGGAUUUGGGAUUAGUAGAUGCAAACUAUUACGUUUAGAUGGGAUAAGCAAUGAAAUCCUACUGUUCAGCAGAGGGAACUAUAUCCUAUCUCUUGGGAUAGACCCUGAUGGAAGAUAAUAUAGGAAAGGGCAUGUAUACAUGCAUAUGACUGCGUCACUUUGCUCUACAGCAGAAAUUGGCACAGCAUUGUAACUCAAUUUAGUAAAAAACUUAAAAAAAAAGGUUCUGUGCCCUCCCCAGGAUUUUUUAUUCUCAGGUGCUCAGUUGCUUACAUGGAGUAUUGAAUUGACAUGUAUUGAAUAACAUGACAUUGAAUGAGCUGUCUAGGUACUGUUGGUGGGCAGUCUUGUUUGUUCCAUUUGGAUAUUGACUCCAGACUUGUACAUUUCAAGCCCCAUAUUUCACCCCAGAGGUGAUGGUUCCUGGAGCUCAUCAGAUUCUAUCUAACCAAAACCAGGGUUUUCAUUUUUCUUUCCCCGAAUGGCUUCUCCUUGUGAUUCUCUAUUUCUGGUUCUCACAUGGGGGUCAGCUUUUGUCUUCCUCUUUUACUCCACGCAAUGCCCAGAUCCCACAGAACUACUUAUAUGACAGUUCCUCUCGCUGAUCUCUCUCUAUUCCCAGUGACAGGAUUACGGUCUCCCAACUACUGUCUUUGGCUCCAUUUAUACUUUCAAUUCCCUAUACUUGGAUGGAUGGCUCUUUCCACGCAGAAUCUUCACCCCAUCAUGGCAGCAUUUGAAAACCAUCAAUUACUGUUUCUCCACAAACAAAGGAGAAAUGUCUUUCUCCCCCCGCCCCCGCCUGUGUGCCCUGUGCUGUUUGACCUGCUCUGGCUGUCCUGCCUCUAUUUUGCUCAUGACUCUCAAAUUAGGUUAUACACAUAGAAUCCAGCUUUGCAGGCAACUCUGGAGAUUAAACACAACAUCAAGAGUUUCGAGGAAAAUUAGUUUUUGUGAAGAAAUAUAUAUACGCACAUCAUUUUACCCGUUGAAGUCACUUUGCCUUUGAGCCUCAUCUCCUUUGCAUCUUGUUUUCCCCCAUGGAGGCUUUCAGGUUUCCCAAUGAUGGAAUCCACUUUCCUUUGGGAUGUGUAAUACUUUAUUUCCAGCACUCUGUGACAGUGUGUUUCUGCUCUGUUGGUAUUCAGGAAUUUUGUAUGAAAAUCCAUUAGGAUAUGAAAAUAAAAUAUUAGAAAAUCGU